rnacentral:rRNA from 1 species
UCAGGAAUAUUGCGCAAUGGAGGAAACUCUGACGCAGCGACGCCGCGUGGGUGAUGAAGGCCUUCGGGUCGUAAAGCCCUGUCGGGAGGGAAGAAAAGUUAGUUGGCUAAUAUCCAGCUGACCUUUGACGGUACCUCUAAAGGAAGCACCGGCUAACUCCGUGCCAGCAGCCGCGGUAAGACGGAGGGUGCAAGCGUUGUUCGGAUUGACUGGGCGUAAAGGGCGUGUAGGCGGUCGGCCAAGUCUGGUGUGAAAUCCCGGGGCUCAGCUCCGGAAGUGCACUGGAAACUAGCCGGCUAGAGCGCGAGAGAGGAGGGUGGAAUUCCUGGUGUAGCGGUGAAAUGCGUAGAUAUCAGGAGGAACACCGGCGGCGAAGGCGGCCCUCUGGCUCGUUGCUGACGCUGAGACGCGAAAGCGUGGGGAGCAAACAGGAUUAGAUACCCGGGUAGUCC